UAGCACUCCCCUUGACAAGAAUGGAGGAGGCCCUCGGGCCUGACAACACACAAGGUUAUUAAGGCAUUGACACCUGCUUCCAAGGACGUUUUAUU
rnacentral:ncRNA from 1 species